rnacentral:rRNA from 1 species
CUUUACUUAGCGGCGGACGGGUGAGUAACACGUGGGCAACCUACCCUAUGGAGGGGAAUAACAGGGAGAAAUCUUUGCUAAUACCGCAUAGAUCCAAGGUUUUGCAUAAAGCUUUGGAGAAAGGAGAAAUCCGCCAUAGGAUGGGCCCGCGUCCCAUUAGCUAGUUGGUGAGAUAACAGCCCACCAAGGCGACGAUGGGUAGCCGACCUGAGAGGGUGAACGGCCACAUUGGAACUGAGACACGGUCCAGACUCCUACGGGAGGCAGCAGUGGGGAAUAUUGCACAAUGGGGGGAACCCUGAUGCAGCAACGCCGCGUGAGCGAUGAAGGUCUUCGGAUUGUAAAGCUCUGUCUUCGCUGACGAUAAUGACGGUAAGCGAGGAGGAAGCCACGGCUAACUACGUGCCAGCAGCCGCGGUAAUACGUAGGUGGCGAGCGUUGUCCGGAAUUACUGGGCGUAAAGGGUGCGUAGGCGGUUUUUUAAGUGGGAUGUGAAAUCCUGAGGCUUAACUUCAGAAUUGCAUUCCAAACUGGAAGGCUAGAGUACAGGAGAGGAAAGCGGAAUUCCCAGUGUAGCGGUGAAAUGCGUAGAGAUUGGGAGGAACACCAGUGGCGAAGGCGGCUUUCUGGACUGUAACUGACGCUGAGGCACGAAAGCGUGGGGAGCAAACAGGAUUAGAUACCCUGGUAGUCCACGCCGU